rnacentral:lncRNA from 10 species
GCAGGCUGCUGUAUAAGUCUAGGCUCCCCAUGGGUGCCUGAGCUCCCCAGAUGCCCAAGAGACCUGAGCAGAAAGGGGCCAGAUGGACAGACAGACUGCCCACUUCAGAAUGCGGCUGCACAUGUGAUUCAGGGGGUUGUAAUUAUUUCUCAAUACCAAGGGUUCUCUUUGGCUAUAGGGUUUCAACCCUACGGCUCGGAUCGGCAACAGACUACUUCUAAAUUCCAGAGUCUAGUGAAGGGGGAGAGCUCUAACUCUCCAGCUCCACUGGGGUCCAGUUUCUUACAGAAUGGGGUAGCAGAGAGGAGGCUGGAUAGCCUGAAGAUAUCCUAUAACUGGGACAACUGGAAUGGCGCUUGUUGGUUCUUAAGUUGGCUAGAACUGCCUCCUGGAAGAUCAUAUACAUCUUCCAACGUGCACCUCUCCCCGCAGUGUCUGGCUGCAGCAGGGCAGUGAUCAGAGAAUACAUUCCACUGAAAUGGGGACUAAACCAAGCCAGAGAAGACUUGGAAUCCAUGAACUGGGUCCCCACAGGAUCAAGGUGAAGCAAAGGCUCGGGGUGCCGGCUCUGCAGCCAUCCAGACAGGGGCCAAAGGAUGCAGGACUCCAGAAGGAAGGAUCCCAGAAAGAAAAAGAAAUGGAUUGAUUACCUGAUGUUUGCAAAUGUAUUGAGAGAAGAUUCACCCUUCUGAUGAAGACUCUGUGAAUGAUUUCAGGACAGGACCACAAAAAACUGAGCAAGGAAAUAAGGAAACAGAGCCAGUAACUGCAGAAAAAGCAAAAGUGGCAACAGAAAUGUCAUCAAAGCCCAACAUGCAGCUAGCUACAGUACACAAACACAAACACACACACACACACACACACACACACACAGAAUGAUGAUUUCACCAAAAGUUGUGAUAUAUCAAUAAGUAGGAAGAUGGAAGAAGAGGAAGCGUAUCUGAGAGGCAGAAAGAGAACUGUGGGUAGGUCUCCCUGUUCCAUGGUAGAAAGUCGAUAAGUAGUAUCUAAAACAUAAUAAUCAAGAGAUAACUGCAGAAACACGUUAUUUAGAAGUACAGAUUCAUACUAGAAGAAGUAGCUAAAAAUUUGUAAAGCUUUGGAGAGCAGAAAUCAGGAUGGCGAUGAUGCUUCCUAUCAUAUAAGGCUUAUGCCUUACAGAACUCUGUGAUCUCAAGUUAUGUAACUACUAGCUGGCUAAAGAUACUGACUAAAAAACAAAACAGCCAACUAGUUAUCCCUGAACACCUAAUCAGACUGAAGGUGACUCGAGUGUGUUUAAUUCCCUCAGGCUUUGGAAGCCAUCCCGAGAGGGUUUCCUGUCACGGGGGACGAUUUCAAAACUCCCAGCACUGCUUCCCACAGAUCUGUGCCCAAGCUUCUCUUGAUUUGUGGCUGCUGUGUAGAUAUGAACGAACUGUAAUGAACUGUGUGGUUCAGAUACUUUUUGGUACAGCUACGAUAGCUGAAAGGUGGGUAACACCCUCCCCCCACCACCAAGACUUGGUAGGCAAUGCUGAUAAUGUAGUUUCUGGGGCACACAGUGGCUGGGAGUUUUCUGGGGACCUUCCAAAUCCUACCUGCAUCUGAGCUUUGUGACCCUCCCUUUGGAUUCUUGCCAAAAUAGUCCAGCAACUGCUCUUCCUUCCCACACCCAGUAAAGAGCGUAGGGCUGGAGGAACCUGGGCAACGGAAGACAAAGGGAAUUUUCUACAGAGAGUUUUAUAUGCUAUUUCCAUGGCUGUGCUAUAGAAAUGAAAGAGUAUCAUUAGGGUUUAGAGUCUAAUGAGGCAGCAUUAGAUAGGCCAAGGAAAAGUCACUCUAUGUAAAAUAUAAUUAUCUGGAGAAGAAAAGUGAGUGUACUUGGAUUUAGACCACAUGAGAGCCAAAACCUAAUUUUGAUGAGAAACUAAAAUUCUGGCUAUGCAAAAGGCAGACUAGGAAGCUAGAAAGCCCGACUUAUGAAUAAAAGACAAAUAGGUCUGUUCUGGAACUUGGUGUCCACUUAGUAUCCAUAACAUGGAUGGUUUGUAAAUUCAGGAAUAAGGGAAGGUAAGAUCCUGAAGUGUACUGUGCUUGCUAAAAGAAACUGUUUUCAGGAAUGAAUCAUUUCUCUUACAACAGGUAAAUAUGGCCUGCUGAAUAAUAAUAGCCCACAUUCAUUCAGAGCUUAUUAUGUGCUAGGCACUUUAAAGUGCUUUAUAAAUACUAGCUUAUUUAAUCCUUAAAACAAUUUUAUGAGAUAUGGACUAUGACAUUUGCGUGAGAGGUAAAAGUUUCUAUUUUAUAAAAGAAAAGACACAAAGAAAUUAAGUAAUUUGCUCAAGAUUACAGAUAAUAACUGGCAGAAAGGAAUUCAAAUCUGGGCUCCAAAAGCCCAGGUUCUUAAUAGAUCUAUCUCCAUCAAUUAUAAAAUUAAUACAAUGAUCAGUAUGCAGAGGCCUAGGCAGAAUAAGAUAUUCUGCAUUCAUGGUGCAUUUUUUAAAGGUACUACUACUACUACUUUGUGUUUAGUAUAUACUUCAGAUUCCAGUUCAGGUUUCCAGAACUCAACUGGGACAAAGUUAAAAGUUUUAGUUCAAAACUGAAGUUUCCUCUGAAGACGAGUUUCAGAAAUCAGAUCCUGGCUCCCUGCCUUGCCUACAAUUCAUCUUAGACCUCAGGAGAUAAACACCAGCUUGAGCAGUAACACAGCAACAAUACGGACGACGAUGAGCAUAAUAAAUAAUACUUCUAACGCUUGAACCCUUGUGCUACCAGGAAAAAAAAUAAAACACUCAUUGUGUCGAAUGGUAGAAAUAUCACAUCUGUGCAUAUAUUCACCCCAGCUCCAAUAUAAUUCUAAGACUGCCAAGCUCUGAGACCUAGAAAUGCCCAGCGUGGUGAGUCAACAGCAGUGACAAGACACAAAGAAGAAAGAAGCACCGUGCUCUGAGGGGCUGAGCGGAGGGGAUGCAGACGGUCACAUCAGUAACUUCAUGCCAAAAUGAAACCCGCAGCAUCGAGGCUGUGGUGUGAGUUCAAAAACAAACAAGUGAAAGUGCCGAGGGAUAAAAUGGGCUGAAAUCGAUGAGCAGCAGUGCGGCCGACCCUCUGGUAAAAAGCUGCCUUUUGUAAGAAUCCCCUGAUUGUGGGGGAUGGGGCCUGCAGAUCGUGAGCUUAGAGGCCAACUUACACCAUUCGAACAGAGUAUUGUUUUCUCUGGGGUAUAAGGCUUACUGUGAUUCCAGACGUGUCGCCAUGGCAGCGGUGGGGGAGGGAGAGAGGAAAGGAGGAACAGACGGGGGUCACCAAGGUCCUAAUUCUCAUGCAAGGGCCCCCACGGCUCAGCCCUGUCUCCCUGAGAAGUCCAGUGUUGUGCUGCAUCUUCUUUCAAGACACCACUGAUGUCAAUCCAGUUCAAUUUAAUAGAUCUCGAGUGCCUACUAAGUGUAGGUCUUUCACUUCUAAUUAACAUUAGCAUCUGUUAAAAUACCUAACCUCUGCUUGGUUCUAGAAAACUAAAAGGGAGAAAAAGACCUAGAUUCCACGCUCUCAACAUUUAUCUUGUCCUAUUCCCAGACUGUGUGGCUAUACAGGUUAAAGAUACAUAGCCACACGGAGGGAAUAUAAUGAAUGGAUGUAUGUGAAUGUGCUAGUCAUUCCUAAAUGCUAACUUUAUAUUACAAUUAGAAAGAAUGAGAGUCCUUUUGCAUUCUUAGAGUCUACUGUGAUGGUCUUCCUCCUUCUAGUUUGUCGCCUGUGUACAACACAGGCUAGGUGCUAGGCGACCCUUCUGAAACAUACCUCUGCCAUGAUGUCACUCUGACUACCUUCAAUGGUGAUCCAACACCAUUAGCUUGGAAAUCAAGAUCUGCCAUAGCUGGUUCUGAUCCUAUCUACCAGUCUUCCUCUUCUGUUGUUCAAAUGCUUCUAUGUACUUAGAAGGGUGUAAUAGGUAGAGUGAAUGGAUGGAUGGAUGGAUGAAUCAUAAAACAGACAAACAAACAUCAAAAAACUCACUUCCAUCUCCAUUUGUUGGCUCAGGGGUCACCAUAUCUCCCCUUCGAGAAUAAUUUUUUUUCCGUGGCUUUCAUCCAUGCAAAUUCUGCCAGGGUCUAGGUUAUACCUCAAAAUCCAUAUGAUCCAAAUGAAACCCAUGACCUCCACCUUCUGUAUGUCAGUGACUGGGACCACUGUCGUCAAUCUGGUUUCAUAAGCCAGAAACCUAGGUUCCAUCCCCAUUUCCAAAUAUUGCCAAAGCCCUUUCACUGUCACCUCCUCCAUAUAUAUCACCUCCCUCUGUUUACAUGUCCUAUCCCUCCAUUCAGUGAUUUUUCAGAUCAGAGGACUGAAGUCACCUCCAAAUGAAUCUCUUCACAUCUACUCCCCUCCAUCAGUUUUCUAUGCCGGGUUAGGGGGAUGCUUUAAAAUGAUCCUAUCACACUCCUCCUUGAAACUCUUCAGUGACUUUCCACAGCUCUCAGGAGAGUGGGCAGAAUCUUACCACCAACGCUGAAGCCAUCUGACCAGUAUGUCUUCCAGCUUUGCCCCACCCCACUUUCCUCUGGCUCUCUGCACUGGCCUCCUGGCAGCUCCACCUGCUCACUGUGUUCCUCCCAGCCUUGGGGACUCACUUACUGCUUCUUGUAGUUAUGACUUCUUGUAGCUGGAAUGCUCUGCCUCAGCACCAUCCCCAGCUCAUCUCAUCUGCUGGUAUAGUGGUUUUCAAACUUGAGGGUCUAUCACAAUUGCCUGGUGGGUUUGUUAAAAUGCCACAAUACUGGGCACCACUCCUGAGAAUUUCUGAUACUGUAGGCCUGAGGUGGGACCUGAUCAUUUACAAUUCUAACAAGUCCCCAGGUGAUGCUGAUCCUGCUAGUCCUAGAACCACGCUUGGAGAAUCACUGCCCCGGCUACCGUCUAUUGGUUUUCCGGAUCUCUGAGAAACCUUCCUUGACUGGCACCUCCCUCACUAGGCUAGCUUAGACAUGCUCAUGGCUGUCUACACAUUUCCUUCACAGCACCUGUCCUCAUCAUGGGCUGUAAUUAUGUAUCUGUGUGAUUAUUUCAUUAAUGUCUGUUUUUGUGGUUAAACUCCUGUGCCUGUGGUUAGGCAGCAUCUCUGUUUUCUGUCCCCAGUGUUUACUAAGUACUUUGCCACAUAGUGUGUGCUCAUAAAUAUUUGCUAAAGCAGGACUAAUCUCUUCCAUGAGAUUUUUUCUAACUAAUUGAGGUCAUAUCACAAUUCCUUCCUACUCAUGACUAUUUUACUUAGGAGAAGUCCAUCCUCCUAAGAGCUGAUACAUUUUAGAGGUUCCCCAGGAAUAGGAAAAUCAUCAAACACUACAGAAUACCAAUGAGAGUUGGAGAAAAAUUGUCAUUGUCAGAACGAAGGAAGUUGUUACAAAAGACACUAGUGCCUGCUAUGAGGCCCACUUCCUUGUGUUGGGAUGAUCAAAUGGGAUAUUAUAUGGAAAGAACUUAGUGUAAUACCUAGAAUGAAGCAAAUACCCCAAAACAUUCACUACUAUUAUGGAUUACAGUAGCCUUUGCAACCUGGGUCUUGUAGUAUCAGUUCAAUUUCAAAUAUUCUGUCCCAAGGUCAUAUUUCUUCAUAUAUUUUGUCUAGAAAAUCUGGUUGUACAUAUGGCCUGUAUCAAACAUUUUAAUAUUCAUACAGCAUAUUAUACUUGACUAAAUGCGGCAAACACUUAUUAAGUGCCUAUUGUAUGAACUCAUUUGGCUGGCAUCAGAGGCGCACGCAAAUGAAUAAUGAUCCGAUAGGGGAGAGAAACAAACAGCCAGCAAAAAUGUAAGGCCGAAUAAAAUAAGCAUGAAAUGAAGGCAGGUAUAAAACCUACAGGUAUGGAAAAGGAUGGAUAAUUUCUGGCUGAAGUGGUAUUUGAUUGGGCCUGGAGCGGGGAGAGUGAUCUUGACAAGCAAAGAAAAGCAGCAGAGCAUUUCAGGCCAGUCCAGGAGGAGGGAGCUUAAUGGGCUGAGGUUCUGGCUCCCUGAAGUGUGUGGCUCACUCAAGAGAAAGAGAAAGAACAGUGUUCCUGCAGUGAUGAGAGACAUGGUGAGACAGAGAGGAAGCUGAAAGGUAUUUGGAAUCAGAUUAUAUAUAAUCUUGAAUAUAAUGCUAAGAGGCUAGUAUUUUGUUCCAUAGGUAGCAUGGCUCCAAUUGUAUCCCCUGCAUGAAGCUGCUUCGAUAUCUUAUUUUUUUUCUCAGAUUUGGCUUAGGGAAGAAGACAGGUGUGAUGUCUACAAUCAUUUGAUUGGCUAGAUUUGCAAGGCUGGCCUUCAGCUCACUUUUAACUUCUUCUUGGGUAUUUUUUUCCAAUUGGACUAUACUGCCACCCGAUAAGUGGUCACACGUAGUUAUCACUAUUUUCUAAACGCCCAAGUGUUCUCAGAGAUAUGAUUAUGAAAACAAGAUUAGCAAAAAUAGCUAAGUAUAAAUUGGUAGCUUCUUAACAAAUGCUUGACUCAGAUUUCUCUCCAAUCUAAUCCUACCCAGAUCUGAAGACUUUCUUUAACUGACCAUGAGUGUUGAUAUUUUACACUUUAUGACAAAAGUCCUUCCAGGACAUACAUGGUUCUCAUUUAUAGCUGUUUUCCCAUGUGUUGAAGAACACACUAAUUUUCUUCCGCUCUGAUUCCCGUAGUAUUAAGAUAGUAUUUUGAUGACUUGGGCUUUCUCAUUCAGGCAAUGGUGCUGUACUCAGCACUCCAAUACCCUACCUCUCUCUCCAAUUUCCACCUGUAGUAUAAAAAAGAAAUUGCCUCCCUUAUCCAUAUGACUGCCACUAGACAGGAUGGUGGAUAUGAGACAUCUUCCAUGUUGGCUGUGCAAAUCUCUAAUGUGCCAUUUCUCUGAUCAGAUAAAGGUUUGUCAAUUGACCAACCUGUGUCAAUAUCAUGGUAGUGAAGCAACUGUGACCCGAAUGUCAUAGAUAUCUCUGCUUUUCUCUGAAAGAGUCUGCUUUUAAAGAAAUAUGAAAUUACAAAAACAUCACCUUUUAUCAGAAUAUAACUUCUGGUUAAAUUCGUUUUAAGGUCAAGAAGAAAAAUAAAGAGAAACAUGAAGUAUUUAAUAGUUUCAAGGCUGAUAUUUAACUAUCCUAUCACUCAUUUCACUGGGGACUUAGGCUGAUGAAAGUGUUUCUUCAAUUGCCAACAUUUUCUCUAGGUUGUUUCCUAAAAUCUUUAAGAAAGAUUAGUUAUGGAAACUAAUCUUUAGUUUACGGGAAUGAAGACUUAUUCUUCAUUUAGAUUCAGACUUAGUUGUAGGAACAAAUACUUAUUCUUCAUUUCACUAAACCAAAAAUCCAACCUCAAGUUAUUUACAUUCUCACUUGUUGAAAAUAUUGGGAUCGUAUGUAGUUUUAUAUUCUAUCUUUUUCACUUAUUACAGCGUGGACAUUUCCCUAUGUUAUCAAAAACUCUUCUAAAAUACUUCAAUAGCCAUGAAAUAUUCUUUCAGUUGAAUAUACCAUAAUGUACUUAACCAGUUCUCUACUUUUGGUCAUAAAGGUCUUUUUUUUUCCAAUUUUUCACCACUAUAGAUAAUGCUAGAGUAAACAUCCUUAUACAUAUA